CGGAUCCUCUGUUUCUUCCGAUGAGAGAUCUGAGUGAAGCUGAUCUUAAUCGAGCUAAUAUAUGUGUCUGAAGUGUACUGGAGGGAAGGAAAGGUCAACAAAACCAAAGCGUUGAUCUUGUCUCCAUUGAAAAAGAAGAUGUCUGAAAAGAAACUCGUUUUUGUGUCUAUAGCUUCACCAAACAAUUUAACUCCUACAUCUGAAAAGCCUCUACUCUACUAUGGCCUAAACGCGUGAAAGACUGUGGAAGCUGACAUAAGUGGCUCUAUUCGUUUGAAACCAGAGCAGUAAAAAUAUACAUGGCUCCUAUGAAGAUCCCAGGCGCUCAUUAUUAUAAAAGAAGUAAGAUGAUGUUAGGAAACCAAUCAAAGCCAUAUCAGACUGACGCGAGAUUGCAUGGUUUUCUUCCAUCUUUUUAAGAAGUAUUAUUUAGCGCCUUGUCUGCAGUAUGAAGUUAUGAGUAUAAUAAAUAUGUACUGCUGUGUGAGUAUAUUACAAUUAUAUUCUUAUUUAGCUCUGUUUUAUACUUCAGGAGAUGCAGUUAUAAAAAGUAUAAGUUCAGCUUCCUCAUUGACCAAACGAACGCAAAGUGCAUUCAGAAACAACUUCUAGCAUUGGAAUAACAUGUAAGUCACUUAACCGAACUUAGCUAGCACUUAGAAGUCAGGAAUGGAAUAUAGAUUAGAAUUCGAGAAAGGAAUAUCGGUUAGAAGUCAGGAAUGGAAUCUGAAUGUUGUUGCUAGUAUGUCUGUUGCGUGCUUCCAAAGGAUGUAUGAAUCCGAAUGUUGUUUACUUGGUUGUCCAUUGUGUGCUUAUAUGUAGGUUAACAAAUACAAUGUCGUUUGCUUGUAAUGUCUGUUGUGUGCUUUUGUUUGCAUGAAUAAAUUAGAGAGAUAAAUGAAAAACUUCCAACUUGCAAGUUAACUACACUGUUUGAAAAAAUAGAAAUAAGUUUAAAUACGUUAAAACACACAGCAAACUAAACAUUAAAAUUAGAGAUUCAGAAAGAUCUCUUUGAAAACAACAUUCUUUGUCUCACACUUAGGCUUUCCUUGAUCAUCAACAACCAAAAUCUUCAAUCCCUUUUUUGAUGUAACUCUGGAAACAGCUACGUAUAGUUGUCCAUGAGAGAAGACAUCUCUUGGAAGACAUCUCUUGGUAGAUACAAACCAACAUGGGAUAGCGAUUGACCUUGACUCUUAUUAAUUGUAAUAGCAAAUGCAACUGCAAUAAGCAGCUGCCUCCUCCUCAUCUUGAAAGGCAAUUUAUUAUCAGAAGGUGUAAUAGAAAGUCUAGGAAUGACCACAGUUUUUCCCACCUUUUCUCCUGUGAUCACUUUAGCCUUUACCAAUAAAUCAUCCAUCUCUGUAAUCUGGAGUCUUGUGCCAUUCAUCAAACUGUUUGUAUGAUCGAUGUUUCUAAGCAGCAUCACUGGACAUCCGACUUUCAAGCGAAGACUGUGAUUUGGCAGACCAGAAACCUUGAUGGUGUUUAAGAAAUCGGGAGUUAGAGCCUGGUCAUUUCUCGAAAAUCUAUCAGAAGCAUCAAUUGAGUCAGAGCUUAAGUAAAUCCUUUCUUCUCCUGCAUGUUACAAACUCAAAAAUUAAAUAAUAAUCAAAAACGAUUUCAGUAGCCAA